rnacentral:rRNA from 1 species
AGGCUUAACACAUGCAAGUCGAGCGGGCGUAGCAAUACGUCAGCGGCAGACGGGUGAGUAACGCGUGGGAACGUACCUUUUGGUUCGGAACAACACAGGGAAACUUGUGCUAAUACCGGAUAAGCCCUUACGGGGAAAGAUUUAUCGCCGAAAGAUCGGCCCGCGUCUGAUUAGCUAGUUGGUGAGGUAAUGGCUCACCAAGGCGACGAUCAGUAGCUGGUCUGAGAGGAUGAUCAGCCACAUUGGGACUGAGACACGGCCCAAACUCCUACGGGAGGCAGCAGUGGGGAAUAUUGGACAAUGGGGGCAACCCUGAUCCAGCCAUGCCGCGUGAGUGAUGAAGGCCCUAGGGUUGUAAAGCUCUUUUGUGCGGGAAGAUAAUGACGGUACC